rnacentral:lncRNA from 1 species
AGCAUAACAACUCUGGCUGGGCUCCACAACUCAUAGGACUGGCAAGAUUACGGCCUAGCACGACGGAUCAAGCGAGCAAUACGGGUACGACCUACAAAACUGGCAUGACACGCCAGGUCAGUACAUUGAAUGUACUUGCAAGACAACCAAAUACAUAGCAUCCAAACAAGCUGCAGACAAAGCAAGAACCGAGCGCAUGCAACACCCUAUCUCAUAUCAAUUACGAAACAUGGCAUGAUAAAAAUCAACUAAGCAUGAACAAAAUCAUAACAUCUACUAACAUGGCAAUGACAUGGCAUAUCAGAACAUGAUUCUAACAUUGUAAUAGCAAAACAUAGAAUUUUAUCUCAAUCAUGGCAUAACUUAACAUGUCAAUCAAAGCAUAGCAUGGCAUCAAGAAACUAUGCUGAAAAUAAACUACCAAUAAUAUCCAAUGCAAACAUAGCAUGUUAACAUUAUGCAAUCAUCUUCUGUUCUAUCAUGGUUCUUUAAAUGCAAAUAUUGAUAUAUUAUUCCAGCAAUGCAACCAAACUUGUGCACCGAGUCCCUCGGACUCUCUUAUCAACUGUGAUCAUCUCUGGAUCACAAACACACCACCAAAGUGGUCUUUCUCAAGAACAACUCGUGAUCCUUAUGGCGAUCACAACCACGACCAACACUUGGUCUCCAACCGUGAUCCUUACGGCGAUCACAACCACGACCAAUAUUUGGCCCGUGAUCCUUACGGCGAUCACAACCACUUAUUUCAUCAUCAAAAUAUCGUCGUGACUCCUCACGACUAUCUCAUAGUUCAAGUUACCAUAUUCUUGUUAUCACAUAUUUAUUUACCAACUUAAUUAUUUCGGUUUGUCCUCCAUUUCGACCAAGACCUGAUAGUGGGACCUACUACGAACUGUUGCUAUCGAUAGACUUUAUACACUCUGCAGAGGUAGCACACUGUACCCACACCACGGAACCCAUGGCCUCGUCAUCCCAUUCGGGGUGGACCAACGGCAUUCCGACGAAACCAACCUACUGCCAUGACGCUCUCCCGGCCACUCCGACCCAAUCCCCAACGGGCUGGUCCUGGGUGGCCCCGUGUCUACCAAAGAAACCCCGACCACCGUCGUGGUCAACUCCCACUCGGGGACACUCCCACUCGGGGUCUGGUACCAAAAAUCUCAAAAACGAGCACACAAGGUUAUGUCCGCUUACCUGAUCAGGGUAAGCACGCCCAUAACCUUCCCUAGUGGGAGGCACCGGCGAGAGGUCACGACAAUAGCUCGCAUUAAGGCCUUCCCAAAAAGGCAAAUGUGGCUGCACUGAAAAAGUUCGGUUUGGCGGCACUAUGACUCGAUCCCAUCGAUGACGGAGGAGGUUUGUUAUUAUUAACUCAUUUUAUUAACUUCUCCAUCAUCAUGAGCAUAUUUAACAUGAGUGCAACAUGCCGCAUACAAAUGCACGAACAAAAUAUUGAACUCCUCAAAUGCACGACUAUAACAUAAAGGACACGACAAUAGUAUAUCAACGGUGCAUUACAAUCCUCAUAGCAGUUUAUAACGAUGACAUGCAAAUAAAGUAGAGUAGUGGCAUGGCAUUAUCAAUAACAACAUUUUAAUUAGCAUGGCAAAAGAUAUCAUGAAAACACAAGCAUGCAUAACAGGCAUAAUAAUUGCAGACGAAAAUGAUGUGAAACAACUGCAACUACACACACACAAGGUGCAAGCAAAGUCAACAUGCAAGUUCGGGGCUCAUGAUAAGAGGUUGGCUUGCUUGGGGGUCGGCAAAUACUCCGGGAAGAAGUGUGAAACGAUCGCGGAAAGAUUUGUCGGAAACAGUUCUCUCUCGGAGGAGGCUGUUUACGGUCAAGGGCAAAAUAGUCAUUUUCACUAUGUGGAAAUAUUAUGAAAAUGAUACCAACGGAAAGAGCUCGACGAACAGAGAACGUGAGCGCUGGAAUCACCUUAUUCGGAGUUACGGGUAAAGAGAUACGGACGUCUAAAGCUCAGGGACUAGUCUGUAAAAAUACUUCUACAAACAGGUCCCUGGUAGUUUAAACAGAACGUGUCUUUUCUGAAAAUACGUUUUCUAGAGAGGGAAACGUAUUCCCGGCCGAAGGAGAGGAAAAAUGUGCUUUCUGAGAUUGAAAGCACACUUUCCAGAAAUGCGCUUUCGCGCGGGGAAAGCGGCGUCGCGGCGGGGGCGCCGCCACUUAUCUGACGUGGCACUGGGUCUGGCCCUUCGGUCACCGACAGGUGGGGCCGCGCGAGGAGGGGGGCUGCCUGGCCUGGCUUAUUCUUCCUCCCGCAUCGACGCGCGCCUGGCCGAGGGGAGACGCCCGCCCCGACGGCGCUCGCCGGCGCAUCCGGCAACGACAGCGGACGGGCGACCUACCAAAAUGCUCGGGACGGCGAGGGGCACCUCAGGGUGGUGCUAGCUUCCGCCGAGGAACACCAGGGAGGGAGCUGCACGGCCCACGGCGGAGAGUGGGUUCGGCCGCCGGUGGACACAGAGCUACGGUGGGGAAGGGAAGGGGCCGAGGCCACGGGGAGGUUCGCCGGAGGCUGAGGGUUGCAGAGGUGGUGGAGGAACGGCGAGGGGAGCUCGGGCUCACCGAAAUCGGGCGAGACCCGAGGCAACGGCUAUGGCGACGGUGGUGGUCAGAGAGGGGCUCCGGGCUCGGGGAGAGGCUCGGGGAGGGAUGGUGGACUGCGAGAGAGCUCGGGGGCACUAUUUAUAGCCGCGGGGAGAGCUCGAGAAGGAGGGGAGGAGGUGGCACGCGGCGGGCGACGUGUCCACGCACCGGUGAGGGCGCAGUGUCGGCAGGCGCGGCCAAGGCUCACGGGAAGCGGCGGGAAGGCGACGAGGAGAGUGCGGACGAGCGCCAGAGGCUCACGGAAUCGAGCAAAGCUCGCGGACGAGAGGAGGAAAUGGACAGGGGCGAGGAAGAAGACGAUGGCCACAGGGGCGUACUGUUUGGUCCUUGGCAUGGCUCGCCGGAGAAGAAAACAAAGGGGGCCAGAGGUCCAGAGGGAAGAUGACGUCGAGGGGGAGCUGUUGGGCAUUAAUGGCGAGGCCAGAGACUGUCGGGGCAGCGCUGCCGACGACAACAGUGGCUAGACCACCGUUUUGGCUGGCUGCCCUCGUAGUCACCACUGGCAUGGCGCGCUCUGGGGUUUUUACUGAUGUAAGUUCAUGUCUAACACGUAGUCCUGCCAGCGUGGAGUGUUACCAUGGUGAAAGAUCGGGCAGAGACAAAUGGAGAUGAGUGAAACAAGCUCCACAAGUUUGCUGUUGCAAACUUGGCAACAUCCUAGAGAUUAAACCAGAGAGGGUAAAUGGUAAACUUGAUGUCCGGGAGGCUUGGGGUAGAAAGGACUAAGGUCCUGGGAGUUUUGAGGUAAAAUGGACAACUAUUUACCAUAGUUGCUGUACAACCACCAAAACUGACCCAGAAACUUAAUCAUGAUGAAACACUCACUAGGAGUGAUGGAUUGGGCUAUAACUUGGCAAAGCCUGAUGAUUUGAACAUACCAUGAUGCUGUAUAAAGUUCAUACCAAAUGGACUCACCAAAAUGGUACUUCCUUCACAGCUAUCAUUUCUGUCCAAAAACUUCAGAAACAUCCUCAAGGCAAUUGGUCAAGUGAAAUGAGCCACAAUCUUGUGGAGAUAGGUUAUAUGAGUAGGAGAAGGCCUGGAAAAAUUAUCAGCCAUAAUGGAGCAAGAUAAAAUACACUUGCUUCACAAACUGAAAAUUUGGACAGAAAACAAGAAUUGCUCCUGUGCUCACAUAGUUCAAUGAAAUGAACUGAAUUUGGGUGGAGGAUAAGUAUUUGAGAUACUUGAGAGGAUGGAAAAGUUUCAUCCCAUUUGGAAACACUAUGAAGGUACUUCCUUCACAAACUUGUGUUCUGGUCAGAAACUUUGAAAACUUGCACAGGGAGCUAGGGUGAAUGGAUUGAGCUCAUCUUUGGUAUCCAUGGGUUAUUUAACAAUGUUAAACACCCUGCCAAAUUGCAGCUCAAUUGGACUAAUCAAUAAAGCACUUCCUUUGCAAAAUUUCAGAGAAGGCAGAAACUUGCAUUGGAUCAUGUGCCAAAUUUUGAACUGUGGAAUCAUGAUAUUAGGAUGGAACUAGUGAUUAUAUAGCAAGGACAAGCUCCACAAUUUAUGUGGGAAUUUUCUCUGCUAUAAAAAUAGUAGUUCCUUUGGAAAUUGGAAGAAAUGCAAUAUUGGCAUUAAAUAGGAAAAGGCAAUUUUCCUUAUUUAAUUAUGGCCAAUAUACUUGCCAGAGCUUGGAUUAGGCAUAAGCAUCAACUCCACCAAUUCUCAUGAAUUUAGGAGAUGGCUAGAUAUGCCUUUGGAUUUUAUUCCUCAGAAAGGCAAGAAAAGGAAUAAAUCAUAAUUCAAAAAUAUUGCAUUGGACUUAGCAAUAUUUUUGCAUAUCCAAGGUUAAGAAAGAUAGGAUGAUCUCUGGGAUCAGUUGGGAGGAUCAACAGAACAAGGAAAAUGGUGGCUCCUUUGUAAUCACAAGGGCAUAUCCAAAUUCCAAAAAUUUGGAAUUAGGGUUUAAGAGGAAUUGAGCUGAUGCAAAUGAGGUCUUGUCCACUGAAAAAGACAUGAGCAGGAUUUUGAAAGGUUGGAAAUGACAAAAUUUUCUCAGGGUCAUCUAGCAAACUCAGGAGAAAAUUUUGAAAAUGAGUGCCAGGAGAGAAUAACAGCACAAAAAUUGAUAACCCAAUUUUGGGGCUGUUACAACUCUUCCCCCCUUAAAAAGAAAUCUCGUCCUCGAGAUUCCUAGGGUUACAGCACAAACAAAAGAAUAAAAACUCCGGAGAAAAACCUCGGGGUUAAUUUUUAACCCUUUGGUUAAAUUCAAACGAGUUGGGGGCACCGAGAAAAAAAAUCGCGGAUUCCUCCACGAAACGUAGGUGUCGAGGUAGAAUCAAGGGUGAAACCAUUAUCGGGGUAGAUGUACUGGAUCGAGUGAAAUAAAAUUGGCAGUGUUUCUCCGGAAAUGAAAUCAGGAAAAAGAAUUAGAGACGAGGAAUUUCCAAGCGGAAAUGCCUCUGCGGGGUUUCUAGAGUUGGAAAUCCGGCACACGGCGUAUGCACAGAUAGAUAGGGAUAUGUGACUUUGCAUUUCCCCGAGUACUGCCCGAAUGUACUCGUGGGUGAACCGGGUAUGCGUGCAGUAUGCAGAAAAAUCUAAACUAGCAAACAGACAGAGGCAAUAAACAUGCAACGGAAAACACACCAGGCAAAAUCAUUCUACGGUGUUUUAAUGCUAGUGGGUAUAUGUACUCCUGGUAUACAUAUACCUACACCAGCGCGCAUUUUAUUAUAGACUCGAGACGAGUCAGGGUUGAUUUAAUGUAUGUGAUCUACUAAUUAAAAUCUUGUUAGCAACACAGUGUCAACCCUGUCAAACAUUUCUGCUUGACAGAGAGACAAGCAAAAACAAGCACAGAAACAAAAGCACAAAAGCAUACAUAGAACACAUCAUACGGGUUACAACAGUACCAGCAUACAACAAAGCACGAACGCUCUACGCGCUAAACGAAGCAACUCAUCUAGGGAUACAUAGUUCUACCCUCAUAUCGAGGAUGAACCGACAGACUAAUCAUCUUACUGCUUGACUGAGGUCAUGCAGAGGAUUUGCCUUGCUGGGGCUCUCCGGGAGGACGAAGACUGAGCCAAUCUCCAUCUUCAUCAUCCGACAUCACUAUGGGUUGGGGUUCGGCUGCUGGGGGUGUGGCUGAAAUUGAUCCAAGCAAAUGCUGCUGGUGGAUCCGUAAAAGAGCCUUGUCGAGGGUGGCGAUGUUGGGUCUAGGCCACAACACAGGCUGAGAGGAUAGCACUGGUUCGGAUGGCGUUGGGCAAAUGACUUGAGAUGCGAAUUUACGAGACUCACGGUAAGCUUCCUUGACGACUCGCACCGCAUCAUUGUCCAGAGUUCUAAACUCUGCAAGCAUCUGGGAAAUCAUCAUCCCCUGGGCGGUGAUAUACUGCACCAGGCGAGCGAUUGCGGGGUCAUCUCCUUGGAUAGCGGGAGAAGGCUGCAUUCCUACCUCUGUCACAAUGGGGUAGAAGCAGAAAUCACGCCUUGCUUCCAUAUGCGGGUAUCUGGUUCGGAGGUGAAGCAUAGCCUCCACAGCAGCAGCCUGAAUGGCUAAAUCAGAGGUAGGCAUGGCUCUACCCUGAAAACCCAAAGGUUGGCCAUCUACUGCGGGACCUGGGACGAUGCGCACUCUUGCAUCAUAGCGGUGAAGGUGAGGGACGGGUGUCGAUUGGAACACCAGGUAGUCGGGGCUAGCAUUACAGCCAAAGGCUUUGGUGAGCAUCUCAGUAAGAAGGGGUGGAAAGCCAGUGUGGUUGACGGCACCGGUGCGGCUGUGAAACUUGGGAGCUUUGAAGGUGCCAGUCAUGGCUGGAGUGCUACUAGCUAGGCUUCUCUGCAGGGACAUGGUUGACUGAGGGGUGAGCGAUACGGCGAGCGGAAAGGGGGCUUUUAUAGGCAGCUAUGCGAGACAUGCCCGCAUGGUGUGGCCCCUUUCCCUUAAUGGCGAAUGGCAAGCGGUGUGGCCGACCAGAAAGGAUAUGGUUGCUAUUCCUUCCACGGAUAACUAGGCGGGGACAGCGGGGUGAGGACGUGUCGGUCCCGACUACGCCACCUGUUGAUUAACAGUGGCCAUGCCGUAUGCAGGGAUGGGUCAAAUCCCUUAGGGCCAUUACCGGUAAAUGGUAGCGGUGAUCUAAUACUAGGAUAACCUAUGCCAGCCUGGCUGCUCUGAUACCAUGCCCUGUGGCACCCCGAUCAGCAUGGAGCAGGGGGCCUUCGCACGUCAGCCCAGGAUAACACCUGACGCACGACAGGUCCAUAAUACAACAUUCCAUGUACAAUAAUAUUCAUCAAAUACAUGUGCAUCAGAGUACAUCAUUGAUGAAUACAAUCAUCUGGCAUAGCCAUAAGGCUAGAAAAUAACAGCGGAAGUCUAUUAAAAUGGCGGCGGAAGUCUUGGUUUGACAGCAUAACAACUCUGGCUGGGCUCCACAACUCAUAGGACUGGCAAGAUUACGGCCUAGCACGACGGAUCAAGCGAGCAAUACGGGUACGACCUACAAAACUGGCAUGACACGCCAGGUCAGUACAUUGAAUGUACUUGCAAGACAACCAAAUACAUAGCAUCCAAACAAGCUGCAGACAAAGCAAGAACCGAGCGCAUGCAACACCCUAUCUCAUAUCAAUUACGAAACAUGGCAUGAUAAAAAUCAACUAAGCAUGAACAAAAUCAUAACAUCUACUAACAUGGCAAUGACAUGGCAUAUCAGAACAUGAUUCUAACAUUGUAAUAGCAAAACAUAGAAUUUUAUCUCAAUCAUGGCAUAACUUAACAUGUCAAUCAAAGCAUAGCAUGGCAUCAAGAAACUAUGCUGAAAAUAAACUACCAAUAAUAUCCAAUGCAAACAUAGCAUGUUAACAUUAUGCAAUCAUCUUCUGUUCUAUCAUGGUUCUUUAAAUGCAAAUAUUGAUAUAUUAUUCCAGCAAUGCAACCAAACUUGUGCACCGAGUCCCUCGGACUCUCUUAUCAACUGUGAUCAUCUCUGGAUCACAAACACACCACCAAAGUGGUCUUUCUCAAGAACAACUCGUGAUCCUUACGGCGAUCACAACCACGACCAACACUUGGUCUCCAACCGUGAUCCUUACGGCGAUCACAACCACGACCAAUAUUUGGCCCGUGAUCCUUACGGCGAUCACAACCACUUAUUUCAUCAUCAAAAUAUCGUCGUGACUCCUCACGACUAUCUCAUAGUUCAAGUUACCAUAUUCUUGUUAUCACAUAUUUAUUUACCAACUUAAUUAUUUCGGUUUGUCCUCCAUUUCGACCAAGACCUGAUAGUGGGACCUACUACGAACUGUUGCUAUCGAUAGACUUUAUACACUCUGCAGAGGUAGCACACUGUACCCACACCACGGAACCCAUGGCCUCGUCAUCCCAUUCGGGUGGACCAACGGCAUUCCGACGAAACCAACCUACUGCCAUGACGCUCUCCCGGCCACUCCGACCCAAUCCCCAACGGGCUGGUCCUGGGUGGCCCCGUGUCUACCAAAGACACCCCGACCACCGUCGUGGUCAACUCCCACUCGGGGACACUCCCACUCGGGGUCUGGUACCAAAAAUCUCAAAAACGAGCACACAAGGUUAUGUCCGCUUACCUGAUCAGGGUAAGCACGCCCAUAACCUUCCCUAGUGGGAGGCACCGGCGAGAGGACACGACAAUAGCUCGCAUUAAGGCCUUCCCAAAAAGGCAAAUGUGGCUGCACUGAAAAAGUUCGGUUUGGCGGCACUAUGACUCGAUCCCAUCGAUGACGGAGGAGGUUUGUUAUUAUUAAGUCAUUUUAUUAACUUAUCCAUCAUCAUGAGCAUAUUUAACAUGAGUGCAACAUGCCGCAUACAAAUGCACGAACAAAAUAUUGAACUCCUCAAAUGCACGACUAUAACAUAAAGGACACGACAAUAGUAUAUCAACGGUGCAUUACAAUCCUCAUAGCAGUUUAUAACGAUGACAUGCAAAUAAAGUAGAGUAGUGGCAUGGCAUUAUCAAUAACAACAUUUUAAUUAGCAUGGCAAAAGAUAUCAUGAAAACACAAGCAUGCAUAACAGGCAUAAUAACUGCAGACGAAAAUGAUGUGAAACAACUGCAAAUACACACACACAAGGUGCAAGCAAAGUCAACAUGCAAGUUCGGGGCUCAUGAUAAGAGGUUGGCUUGCUUGGGGUCGGCAAAUACUCCGGGAAGAAGUGUGAAACGAUCGCGGAAAGAUUUGUCGGAAAUAGUUCUCUCUCGGAGGAGGCUGUUUACGGUCAAGGGCAAAAUGUUCAUUUUCACUAUGUGGAAAUAUUAUGAAAAUGAUACCAACGGAAAGAGCUCGACGAACAGAGAACGUGAGCGCUGGAAUCACCUUAUUCGGAGUUACGGGUAAAGAGAUAC